rnacentral:rRNA from 1 species
AGAGAUUGAUCCUGGCUCAGGACGAACGCUGGCGGCGUGCCUAAUACAUGCAAGUCGAGCGGACAGAUGGGAGCUUGCUCCCUGAUGUUAGCGGCGGACGGGUGAGUAACGCGUGGGUAACCUGCCUGUAAGACUGGGAUAACUCCGGGAAACCGGGGCUAAUACCGGAUGGUUGUUUGAACCGCAUGGUUCAAACAUAAAAGGUGGCUUCGGCUACCACUUACAGAUGGACCCGCGGCGCAUUAGCUAGUUGGUGAGGUAACGGCUCACCAAGGCGACGAUGCGUAGCCGACCUGAGAGGGUGAUCGGCCACACUGGGACUGAGACACGGCCCAAACUCCUACGGGAGGCAGCAGUAGGGAAUCUUCCGCAAUGGACGAAAGUCUGACGGAGCAACGCCGCGUGAGUGAUGAAGGUUUUCGGAUCGUAAAGCUCUGUUGUUAGGGAAGAACAAGUGCCGUUCGAAUAGGGCGGUACCUUGACGGUACCUAACCAGAAAGCCACGGCUAACUACGUGCCAGCAGCCGCGGUAAUACGUAGGUGGCAAGCGUUGUCCGGAAUUAUUGGGCGUAAAGGGCUCGCAGGCGGUUUCUUAAGUCUGAUGUGAAAGCCCCCGGCUCAACCGGGGAGGGUCAUUGGAAACUGGGGAACUUGAGUGCAGAAGAGGAGAGUGGAAUUCCACGUGUAGCGGUGAAAUGCGUAGAGAUGUGGAGGAACACCAGUGGCGAAGGCGACUCUCUGGUCUGUAACUGACGCUGAGGAGCGAAAGCGUGGGGAGCGAACAGGAUUAGAUACCCUGGUAGUCCACGCCGUAAACGAUGAGUGCUAAGUGUUAGGGGGUUUCCGCCCCUUAGUGCUGCAGCUAACGCAUUAAGCACUCCGCCUGGGGAGUACGGUCGCAAGACUGAAACUCAAAGGAAUUGACGGGGGCCCGCACAAGCGGUGGAGCAUGUGGUUUAAUUCGAAGCAACGCAAAGAACCUUACCAGGUCUUGACAUCCUCUGACAAUCCUAGAGAUAGGACGUCCCCUUCGGGGGCAGAGUGACAGGUGGUGCAUGGUUGUCGUCAGCUCGUGUCGUGAGAUGUUGGGUUAAGUCCCGCAACGAGCGCAACCCUUGAUCUUAGUUGCCAGCAUUCAGUUGGGCACUCUAAGGUGACUGCCGGUGACAAACCGGAGGAAGGUGGGGAUGACGUCAAAUCAUCAUGCCCCUUAUGACCUGGGCUACACACGUGCUACAAUGGACAGAACAAAGGGCAGCGAAACCGCGAGGUUAAGCCAAUCCCACAAAUCUGUUCUCAGUUCGGAUCGCAGUCUGCAACUCGACUGCGUGAAGCUGGAAUCGCUAGUAAUCGCGGAUCAGUAUGCCGCGGUGAAUACGUUCCCGGGCCUUGUACACACCGCCCGUCACACCACGAGAGUUUGUAACACCCGAAGUCGGUGAGGUAACCUUUUAGGAGCCAGCCGCCGAAGGUGGGACAGAUGAUUGGGGUGAAGUCGUAACAAGGUA